rnacentral:lncRNA from 1 species
GGGGAGAGUAAGAUCAAGGCUCACAUGCACCGGCUGAUGGAUGUCUCCCGGAAAGAUCUCCAACUCCUGCAGUUGAAGCUGAGAGCCUCCCUGUCUGCCAAAUGUGAUCUGGAAGACCAGAUCGUGAAGCUAGGUGAGGACUGCGGCAGGCUGCAGGCAGACAAGGCCCGGAUGGAGGAGGAGUUUAGCAUGCUGCAGCAGAAGGUGGAGAUCCUGAAGGAGCUGUCCCACCAGAAGGAGCUGGAGCUGCAGAAGAUACUGAGUCAGGCGGAAUGUGCACAGCAGCAGCGAGAGCAGGCGCUGUUGGCUGUGGAUGAGAAGGUGGUGCCGGCCACAGAGGAGGUGAAAAUCUACAAGUGAGUGUGGCGUCCGAGACAGAGGAACUGGGCUGAGUUGCUUUGUUACAUAGAAGAGAUGGGCACAGGAGCACAUGAGCAGUCCAAGAAUGGAAUGUAUUUAACUCACACGGGGAGGGGUUCUACAUUAACAGACAGAAGCUUGUUAACAGGAAGCUCCUUUGCAGAUGUGUCCUGUGCCCAUUUUUAGGAAAUCGGCCUGCUUCUGUCACACGUCCACACCCACCAGAGUCUCAGUGCUCCGACAGACCGG